AAAAAGAGAGGAAAAAAGCAAAAGCGGAAAGCCAAUUACUAAACAAAACUCGGCCAAGGUAGAAUGAAUGUAGAAUGAGUUCAUGA